AUCACGCCAACGUCAAUGGAAUCACAGUCUCGCCGGAAUUCGAACAACCGCACGCCAACGGGCCGGGCGAUCUUCAUACCCGUAGCAGGGCCGGUUCGCGAGGCGCUCCGACCUAUCCCAGCCCCCCAGCCCCCGGGGCGCGCGCGAGCCGGCCACUGCUACGCACCGUUUCUAUCCAGACCCCCGAAGGCCGCCGAAAGGCGGCCUCUUUU
rnacentral:sRNA from 1 species